UAAUAAUUUAACCACGAUAUGAACCUAUGUGGGGAUAUCAUGUAAUAUGCAUUUACAUAAAAAUACACGGAACAUAAAUCGGAAAAUAUGCCCUUAUAUAAAACGAAAAAAAAACAACAAGAAACAUUAACAACACAUUACUGAAAAUGUUAUGCCGUUAAUGAAAAUAGUUCCAAGACUUCGCAGUAACUCCCAAAAUCAUAGUUCCCUAUCUAUUUUAAAAUUGACUGGCCAAUUAUUUACUAAAUUUUGCGGUCGUCUUUUAAAAUUGUAUGUAUAUUAUUGCUUUACGCGAUUUGAAUAUUACUACGCCAGCGGACGAUAAUAGCUAAAGUGCUUGUAUAAAUAAAAACUACAAAUUACAUGUAGUCAGAAGUUAAUUAAGUGUCAUAGAACUUAAUGCUCGAAUGACGAAUAAAAACUGCUUCGCGCAUGUCACGUGAUGGUGUGCCAUUUUGGUCCUUCCGAAUAAUCCAGGCGGGGAACAAUAGUUUUAUAUAAAUACAUAGCAAAUUGAAUCGUGUGACUGAAAAGAGAUCGGAAAAUGUUUUGCUCGUCUUUAACGGAUGUGUUUAGUAAAGUUUUUUGGUGAGAAUCAAUCAGUGAUUGUCCCCGAGCGCUCAAGAUUCGUGGUCGAGUGAUUUUCCAUGCACUUUACUGUUAGCUACAUUUGCGUGAAGUUUGUGAGAGGGAUGUGACGGAAACGAACGUAUGGGAGGUUUGGAAUUGUUUCUUUUAUUUUAGGACGUCGAAAAACUAAGUAUCAAUAAAAAAUGUAAGUUAUUUUAUAUUUUAUUAAAACUACAUAGCCGAAACGUAAUAUUAUUACACAUGAAAAUCGGGAAAGCGUCACUGUUUUUUUUUAAGGAAAAAAUGUAAAUAUUUCACAGAAAAUCCGGGAAAUGUUAUUUAUCACAUAUUUGUAAAUUAUCAAAUAUUUUUCGUGGGUACAAUUUGUUUGACACAAAGUUAAAUUUUCCAUGAAUAAGGACUUUAAUUAUAAAUUAGCGUUUAUCAUAAGAAUUAUACAUGUUAAACUUUUAAUUUUUCAUGUGACGUUUCGAUCAUAGUUAACGGUAUUUUUUACCAUUAUGAUCAUUAUUCAUAUUUACUUACCAUUGUAGCCAUCUAUACUAAAUUAAAGUGGUAGCAAAGGGCAGAUUACUGGUUUCAGCAGUGUAGGAGUUAAAUAUAAAUCGUAUGCAUAAUUACAUAAUGUUAAUUGGCUUAUGAUAUAAAACAAAAUACAGAUAUGAAUAAUUGAUAGUUGGCAUAUGAGAUCUAUCAAAGAAUUGACACGGAUGAUUGACGUGCGAUAUGUAAAAAUGACAAUGUUGUUAUUUAUGGUCAUGUUUAUGAGGACGUCCACGGGUGUAACAAUGAUGAUGAAAUGACGUCGUUCAAGGUAGUGAGCAAUCAUCAUUUAAAUCUAGUUAUUUAUAGAAACUAGCUUUUUGUAGAACUAGUUAUUUUUAGACAAAUGAGUUUUAACUUUUCAGCGUAAGUUUUAUCAGUUUCAGAAGAUGAAAUUUCAAAAGGAACCAAUGAACUUGCAAGUAAUCAUACUAUAUCGGACCAUGCUUGUGGUACAAGGACAGCACACAUUAUGCAACAUGUAAAGCAAGAAAUGGAGGGAAGAAUCCUAGCAGACGACAGUUGUCGCACAGAUGCAAUCAUGCACCAUAUCAGACUGCCGGCCUAGCUCUAUACUGGACUCGCUUUCAGCAGAGGAAAUCAUAACUUUGUAAUUGUAUCCACAGGUAGCAGACGACAAUAAAUUUUAAAGUGGAAAUUUUCGACCUCCGGUGUGUCUCCUACUCGAUUUUGUGAUCUCAGUUACUUCCCCUGACGUUCAGUAGAUGAGUUUCAGGAUUUGAAAUCAAGAAAGAACGAAAGAUAUGAAAUUAGCGCCGGCAAACUGAUCUUGGCAUGUUACAUCAUUAUCACAGAACUGGAACCUACUGAUUAAGAUGAGAAAUACGGAACAUGGUAAAUUGAGCAGGUGAAGGAAUAAAGAAAACACAACACUCUUUGCAGUCAGCAAAAUAACUAUGCUUCCGGUUUGGAACUAUUGCAUGCCGUUACAACAUAUGUGACAAAGAAAUUUCAAUCCACCUGAUACGAUUUGGUAUCUUUCUGAAAAUGUCAUGUUCAACUUCUGAAUGGUGUUUUUUCUGCCAAAUUUAAGAAAUGUAUUACCAUGUAACUGUCUAAUAUUUAUGGCAAUUAUGAAGUAAUGAGUUUUUGGCGUAGCAAUAAAAACCAUAAAAGAG